UAACAAGGUUUCCGUAGGUGAACCUGCGGAAGGAUCAUUGUCGAAACCUGCCCAGCAGAACGACCGGUGAACGUGUUUAUCAAACGAGGGGUCCGGCGCGGGUUCUUCCUGCAUCGGUCCUUCGCAAGGCUUCACCCGAGUUGCUGCGGUGCGUCGGCCCGCCCGUCCCCGCAGUAUCUCGGCCACAGCCCGCUAACAAACCCCCGGCGCGGAAAGCGUCAAGGAAAUACAAACAAGAAAAUCGGCGUUCCCGGUUGACCCGGAAACGGUGUGCAAAAGGGAUUCGCCGUAUUUUGAGAAUCUAAACGACUCCCGGCAACGGAUAUCUCGGCUCUCGCAUCGAUGAAGAACGCAGCGAAAUGCGAUACUUGGUGUGAAUUGCAGGAUCCCGUGAACCAUCGAGUUUUUGAACGCAAGUUGCGCCCGAAGCCUUUUGGCCGAGGGCACGUCUGCCUGGGUGUCACUCAACCGUCGCCCCGACCUCAACCUUUCGGAAGAGGCGGGCGGAAGAUGGCCUCCCGUGAGCUAUGCGCGUGCGGUUGGCCCAAAUGUCCGGUCCCCGGCAACGACGCCACGACAAUCGGUGGUUGAACGACCCUCGCUAACUGUCGCGAGCGAUCGGAAGCCGAAGCGACCGAAUAGGCCCCGAAGCGUGACUGAAGCCGCGCUCGCAAUGCGACCCCAGGUCAGGCGGGAUCACCCGCUGAGUUUAAGCAUAUCA
rnacentral:rRNA from 1 species